UGCCCCGUGGCUGAGUUGGUUACAGCGUCCGACUGUUAUCAUUCAUUACGAUGAAGAUUCAUCGGAAGGUCGUGAGUUCGAGCCUCACCGGGGCAG